rnacentral:tRNA from 1 species
GGAGAUGGCUCAGAGGUUAAGAGCACUUGACUGCUUUCCCAGAGGACCUGGGUUCAAUUCCCAGCACCUACA